GAAGACCAUGGCCAUGUGGCCCCUUUCAUAAAAUAAAGAACAAAAACCUGGCAACUCAGAGGUCUGUAAAGCCUCUGAUGACCAUUGGUAAGUAAAUGCUGGUGUCAAGUGCCUCAGACAUCAAAUAUACUGAAAAGUGUCCUGGGUUCAUUUUCAACUUGAAUAAUUCAAUAAGUUUCCAUUUGUUUCAAUAAGUUGAAAUAAGUCUCAAUUUGAAUAAUUCAACCCCCUCAAACAUGAAGCUUUCUUGCUUCCAACUCAAAACCCAUGUCAGCCCAGCACCAUACACAGAAAAGAACAUAAAUCCAACUCCACUAAGCACUGAGGAGUAGUAACUGAUGUUUUCAUUCUGUUUUUGUUAAUGAGGGUACAGAAGAGGUGGAGGGUGCAGUUACAAAUACAUUCAGAUUUCCUACCACUUCUGUGGCUAUCGCUCAUCUUUAAAGUUCUGUAGUCACUCCAAACUCCUUCCCUUUCUGCUCCAACUUUUCCCUCUUCCUCCUCAGGCACCCAUCCUGCCCCCAGUCUUCUUUCUCCCACGCAUCUCAUGACGUUUGUAGAUCAGUGAUAACUAAUGUAGAUCAAUGAAGCUUUUCUUGGUUUU
rnacentral:lncRNA from 1 species